UUCAGAUCUUGUGCAGUGCUGAGCCCUUCACCAGGAGCAGGAGUCUCGAGCACAGGGGAAAAAAAGGAUAUUUCAAAGCUUUCCUGCAGUGGCAAACUGCUAGGAUCACCAGCCAGCAGCAUUCACUCUGUAGGAGAUGGAGGGGAGCCUGCUGCAGCCAG
rnacentral:lncRNA from 12 species